CAGCAAGAGUUGAGGUAGUACAUUCACUUCCUUGAGUCUAAUGUCCCAUAGCAUAAGAUGAUAUAGCUGGAGUACAUUCACCUCAUGCUCAGCAGUAUUACUGCAGUAGACCAUUUCUUUAGAUUAAUUGCCAAGAGAAAACUCUAACUAAUGUCUCCAGAAUGACUUGUUUCACCAUUGUCUCAAGUCUUGUCAAGUGCUGUGAGCUCCCGGUAGUCACAGAAGCUGAUUCAAUGAUUUGCUUAGCGCCCCCUCUCGAAGAUGACUCUUUGGAGACCUAGGGAGAAGGCCGAGUGCAAUGCCUCGGGCAAAGGCAGAAGAGCUUCCGAGAUAUGAGGGGAAGAAAUGUGCUGAAUUUGACGAGCAGCUCAACCUACGAGCUUCCCUGUAUGAUCCCUGCCCACCACCCCUAUAGCACCUUUCACAUGAAUGCAAAAAGUAUCCCGAGGUGGGAGGGUCCAAGUGGAGGGAUGAGCUUCAGAUUCAGACGCUGGAUUCCGUGCUUGAGCUUGCCUCCUGAGGUUGGAUGGUGUGACGUAUUCCCCUAUUGGUUUCGAGGCCCGGUUGACCAUCUCAUUGGGUGACCAGUCAUGCUCAUUAAAGGCCAUGUCGUUGCGUGCCUUUGAAAGAUACCACAUAGGAAAGGCUAGUAGCUGCGUGAACUCCUUAUUUGCUGGGCAUUAAUAUUCCUGAAAGCUUCAAUUCUGAGACAUGCUGGCUGUGUGGCUUUAAUGCACAGGAAUAAUACAUGCCUGAUGGGUUCCUCUUCUCCACACAACUUGCAAGUCACACUCAAUCAUUUCAACUACUGCAUGAUUGAUUUCCUGUUGGAAAAACUCCAUUGCCCAGACGGUUAAAUUCUGCACAAGUCCAGAGUUUAUAUAGCUUCGCCUUGCAGCAUUCAAUGUUAAGCAAGGGAACAAAAAGAAAAAUUAUGCUCAAAUAUCAAAUAAC
rnacentral:misc_RNA from 1 species